rnacentral:sRNA from 1 species
AAAAAGAUCAACAAAUCACGAAAUUAAUCAGACAAGUUUAAGACAUCAGUCUCUGAACUUACCAUCUGAGCGAGUCCUACGUUUUGGUAAGUUCAUUUUCUCUACUGAGUGCUUCCGUGGCAAGUUCUUAAUCCCUUUGAACAAAGCCAUAUCAUAACCACUGGUAAUCAUACACAACAAUGACAACUGAGUAUCGGCUGGGGUAUACCAUCAUACUAAUCCAUUAAAGGAAGAAAGCAUCAAAGGACAUAGACCCUUGACCUGAAUUAAACUCACAAACAAAUUAAGUCUCCUGUGAAAUUCAUCACAUUUUAUCCCCAUUGCUAAUAGUCACAUCGCUUUUGUGUCAUUCAAGGAAAAAUAAAAUAAAUUGAUAUAUGAUGCACUCCUUGUUAUCUUAGCAGCGACAGUAAAAUCCAUGGGUUUUCCAAAUCAUUUGUGUAUUAGCUUCAACUCCAGACAGCCUUGAUGCCCUCAAUCUAAUCUGAAUGCAGAUAGUCAUUAAUUUAUAAUUCUGUACAGUUUCUGCUCCAUCUAAAUCAGACGGUAGUCUCUCUGAUCACAAUGCACUCCAAACCCCUGUAAACAAGGCAAAGAAGUCGCCCUGACACAUUCCAUAUAUCAUGACUUUAGCUCCAUCCUCACCACUGAUUCACAAUCAAUGGAUACUCAGAGAAAGGACUGCUUCCAGGGACUGUAUUUUGAUCACUGAGUGUUGUGGUAUUCCAUCUGCACAUUCCUGACAAUUACUUAUUCUAUCUGAGGAGACUAGGGUACGAUUAUAUAUACUCCAGAGCACUAUUAACUCCGAGUCCUCAGCAAGUAGGAACCAUCACUGUCAUAAUCAUUAUCUCUAAUUGUCACGAAUGAUUCAAACUUCAGCAACUAUAUGGCCAGUGCCUCUCUUAUGCAAGCCGGAUUCAUUCAACUUACUAUGAGCACUUUUUUAAGUGUCAUUCUAUAUCCCCGCCCCGGCCAUAAAAUUAUGUAUUAACUUAUCAGUCAACAACUACCUGUAGUAGAAUUAUAUAACGUUCGACGCACUUCUUUUUAUUAUAUCAUAAUCUUCUUUCAAUCCACAC